rnacentral:rRNA from 1 species
AGUGAACGCUGGCGGUAGGCCUAACACAUGCAAGUCGAACGGCAGCACAGUAAGAGCUUGCUCUUACGGGUGGCGAGUGGCGGACGAGUGAGGAAUACAUCGGAAUCUACUUUUUCGUGGGGGAUAACGUAGGGAAACUUACGCUAAUACCGCAUACGACCUACGGGUGAAAGCAGGGGAUCUUCGGACCUUGCGCGAUUGAAUGAGCCGAUGUCGGAUUAGCUAGUUGGCGGGGUAAAGGCCCACCAAGGCGACGAUCCGUAGCUGGUCUGAGAGAAUGAUCGGCCACACUGGAACGGAGACACGGUCCAGACUCCUACGGGAGGCAGCAGUGGGGAAUAUUGGACAAUGGGCGCAAGCCUGAUCCAGCCAGACCGCGUGGGUGAAGAAGGCCUUCGGGUUGUAAAGCCCUUUUGUUGGGAAAGAAAAGCAGCAGGUUAAUACCCCGCUGUUCUGACGGUACCCAAAGAAUAAGCACCGGCUAACUUCGUG